rnacentral:misc_RNA from 1 species
GGAAAUGGAGGGAUGUUAAAUGCUUUAUACAAAUACCAUGGACAUGACACACCCAAGGUGCUACUUGGGAUAACAAGCUUGCUUGUUGUAAUUAACUGCCUCAGCUCAUUUCAGAUAUAUGCAAUGCCAGUUUUUGACAAUUUGGAGAUUAGAUACACUAGCAAAAUGAAUAAGCCCUGCCCAAGGUGGCUACGCUCUGGGUUUAGGGUGUUCUUUGGAUGUUUGGCGUUCUUUAUAGCCGUGGCAUUUCCAUUCUUGCCUAGC